UACGACCUUAUCACAUUCAAAUGCCAGUUCCUGUACGAUCACCAAAGUUAAGCAACGUUGAGCCUGGUCAGUACAUAGAUGGAUGACCGCUUGGGAAUACCAGGUGCUGUAA
rnacentral:rRNA from 1 species